UACGUAGGGGGCUAGCGUUGUCCGGAAUUAUUGGGCGUAAAGAGCUCGUAGGCGGUCUGUCACGUCGGCUGUGAAAACCCCGGGGCUCAACCCCGGGCCUGCAGUCGAUACGGGCAGACUAGAGUGCGGGUAGGGGAGACUGGAAUUCCUGGUGUAGCGGUGAAAUGCGCAGAUAUCGAGAGGAACACCAGUGGCGAAGGCGAGUCCCUGGACAACUUCUGACGCUGAGGCACGAAAGCUAGGGGAGCAAACAGG
rnacentral:rRNA from 1 species